UGGCACCUGUGUUCUGGCCACUUUUUCUCCAAAUCUUCUGCUUCUUUGUCCUGCAUUCCUUCCAUGGAGACCCCACCCUGCAUCCAGAGGACAUUUCUGGGGCCCCUUGCUUCACCUGGCAUGAUCCCAGCUCCUCACCAUUGUCUAAGCUAUGCCCUCUGCUAGUAUGCCCUCCCUCCUGCACCUGGGGCCAUUCACUCCUGCACCGCCCAAGCACCGAGGGACUGCUUGGCAAGGAAACAGGCAGGUAACCAGGUCAUGCAAGUCUAAUUCACACUCUAGGGAGAGAAGUGAACAGAGCCUGUCCCGAUGAUGCCAGCAGAGGAGCUCCUCAUGAAACGUGGGAGGAGGAGAUGGGGAAGUCCAGGAAGGCUUCCUGGGGGAGGUACCAUCUAUCUGCACUGGAAAUGUUGAGAGGGCCUUUGCUUGCUGAAAAUGGGGCAGGAGUCUAAGCAGAGGGAACAAUGUAAGCAAAGUCAUGGACGAGAGAACAGCUGAAUGGAAGAUCCGUGAGGUCAAGAACUGUGUUUUGUGCACUGCUGCAUCCCCGCUUCUUAGAGGAACAUGUGCCAUAUCGAUGUUUAAUGAAUAAACAAAGGAAUGCAAUACAAGAUGACAUAACAUGGGCCUAAUGAACCCAUCCAAACUGCGGGAGAAGAUGCAGGGACACAUCUUACAUGGUGCGUAGAGGUGGUUCUUCUCUCUCUGCCGCUGGGGAUGAACAAUAAACAACCGGCCUCAGCUGCAAAGGGAAGCAGUGCUGAGGGCAAAAUGAACAUUGACAAGAAGGCCAAAAAUCAUGACGAAAUGGGCGGCAACUGGUCACCCCAUGCCUGGGCUCACACUUCCUCCUGAUUUCCUGCCCAGAAGUGUGCUUAUUUAUCAGGUCACUUUAACUCAGAAACCCACUGACAUGUUCAAAGCUCUAAGAUUUAGGGUGAUCUAAUGGUUUUCUUUUUUCAAUCCUCCAAGACAUCUGAAUAACUUUCUUCUUGACAAAGUGUCACUUCCAUAUUUCCGGCACUAAACUUGUGGGAUUUUAAAGAUAAAACCAGAAAAAAAUAUUGACAAGAAAGAAGCAAUUUCUAUUCCCGGGUUUCUUCAGGGUCUUUCUGUUUGGAAGCAGCUGUGUAGAAGGGCUGGGCUGGCUGUUAACUUCAUCACGCUGGUUUCAGAGCACUGACCUCACUGUUGACUUUGGAACAUGUUCUAGGCUCUGAAAAGAAAAGAGAGUCUCCACCAAGUAACUCCAUGGGAUUAAAAGCAACUACAAGCAAUAGUUUCCUUUGAAGCUCAGCUCUGAAGAGAACCCAUUCAUUUCAUAAUCAAAUUAGAUCAGAGGGUGAGAAGGCAGCCCAGCAGAAGGUCCUCAUGAGAUCUCCCAGCCCUUGGAUCUGAGGAAUAACUGAGGAAGAGUUGGUCUUAAGAGAAGAGAUAUUAGCCGGGUGGGGUAGCUCACGCCUGCAAUCCCAGCACUUUGGGAAGCUGAGGCAGGUGGAUCACCUGAGGUCAGGAAUUCCAGACUAGCCUGGCUAACAUUGUGAAACCCCAUCUCUAUUAAAAAUAAAAAAUUAGCUGACCGUGGUAGCAGGUGCCUGUAAUCCCAGCUACUCAGGAGGCUGAGGCAGGAGAAUUGCUUGAACCCAAGAGGGGAAGUUUGCAGUGAGCCAAGAUGGCGCCAUUGCACUCCAGCCUGGGGGACAAGAACAAGAUUUCAUCUAAAAAAAAAAAAGAAAAAAAAGAAGAGGCAUCAUCUUUAGCAAACUAACACAGUAACAGAAAACCAACUACCACAUUUUCUUACUUAUAACUAGGAGCUAAAUGAUGAGAAGUCAUGGACACAAAGAGCGGAACAACAGACACUGGGGCCUACUUGACAAUGGAGGGUGGGAGGAGGGAGAUCAGAAAACUUAACUAUUGGGUACUAGGCUUAGUGCCUCGGUGAUGAAAUAAUCUGCACAACACACCCCAUGAUAUGAAUUUACCUAUCUAACAAAAAUUCACAUGUACCCCUGAACCUAAAAGUUAAAAAAAAAAAUUAAAGUUGAAAACAUUAAAAAUAAAAUUAAAAAAAA
rnacentral:lncRNA from 10 species